GGUUCCAUGGUGUUAUGGUUAGUACUCAAGACUCUGAAUCUUGCAAUCCGAGUUCAAAUCUCGGUGGAACCU
rnacentral:tRNA from 1 species